ACCUGACUGGUUUAGUCAAUAGAGCAUGUGACUCUUGUUCUCAGGGCUGUGAGUUCAAGCCCCACGUUAGGCA
rnacentral:tRNA from 1 species